rnacentral:rRNA from 1 species
GUAACACGUAUGCAACCUACCCUUUACUGGGGCAUAGCUCAGAGAAAUCUGAAUUAAUUCCCCAUAAUACAAUUGAAUGGCAUCAUUUGAUUAUUAAAGUUGAGGCGGUAAGGGAUGGGCAUGCGUUGCAUUAGCUAGUUGGUGAGGUAAUGGCUCACCAAGGCUACGAUGCAUAGGGGUUCUGAGAGGAUGAUCCCCCACACUGGUACUGAGACACGGACCAGACUCCUACGGGAGGCAGCAGUAGGGAAUAUUGGUCAAUGGACGCAAGUCUGAACCAGCCAUGCCGCGUGCAGGAAGACGGCCCUCUGGGUUGUAAACUGCUUUUAUAUGGGAAGAAACCUCAUUAUGCGUAAUGAACUGACGGUACCAUAUGAAUAAGGAUCGGCUAACUUCGUGCCAGCAGCCGCGGUAAGACGAAGGAUCCAAGCGUUGUCCGGAUUUACUGGGUUUAAAGGGUGCGUAGGCGGAAUUUUAAGUCAGUGGUGAAAGCCCUUCGCUCAACGAAGGAACUGCCAUUGAAACUGAAAUUCUUGAAUACGGUUGAGGUAGAUGGAAUAUAACAUGUAGCGGUGAAAUGCUUAGAUAUGUUAUAGAACACCGAUUGCGAAGGCAGUCUACUAAGCCGUGAUUGACGCUGAGGCA